rnacentral:piRNA from 1 species
UAGCUAGUUAUCUUGGUGCAGUGAA